rnacentral:lncRNA from 1 species
UAUUAUUAAUUUAUUAUUUAUAAUUAAAUAAUAAUAAUUAUUAUUAUUUAUUAAUAAAUAUUAAUAUUAAUUAUUAUUAAUAAUUAGAUAAUCAAUAUUAUUAUUAAUUUAUUAUUUAUAAUUAAUUAAUAAGAAUAAUUAAUUAUUAUUAUUAUUUAUUAAUAAUUAAUAAUAAUAAUUAUUAUUAUUAAUUAGAUCAUCCAUAUUAUUAAUUUAUUAUUUAUAAUUAAUUAUUAAUAAUUAAUUUUUUAUUUAUUUUUAAGUAAUAUUUUUAUUACUAUUAAUUACAUAAUAUAAUUUUAAUUUCAAAUUAUAACUCUUAUUCCUCUUGUUCCAAUCUAACCAUCCAAACACUAUUUACCUUAUUCCUAGGAACAACCCAAUUUUCAUCCAAACGCAAAAUUGGUCUAAUUCCUGCUUAUACCUGAACUUGUACCUAUCCCUAGAACUAGCAGUUCUUACUUAUACCCGAAUCAAACGCAGCCUUAGUGUUUUUAAAAACACCAUAGCCGAACUUAUAUAUACAUAUGU